CAGAUUCACAUUUCCUGAACAUUUCUUCAGUAGUUGUUGCUUGAUAGAGCUGCAGACUGGCAGUGCCAACUUCUAACUAAAAAAGAGACAGCUAAUAGGGGAACAGGGACUCCCUUGAGAAAAGUCCCUACAGAUGGAGGAGGGAGCAGGAGACCUCCACAGCGCUGCUGGAUCCCAGCAAGUGGAGGAUGUUGCAAUCAAAAGAAGCAGAAAAAUAAAUAAGGAACAAGGACCAGGCAAUUCGACCAGGAAGGCCAAAGGCAACGAGAGGAGGAGAAAGAAAAAUCAGAAAAGAGCAGAAAGAAAGAGCGUCUCAAGCGUAAAGUCAGAUGCAGAUGUUGAAAAUAAAGACACAGAAAAAGGUGGGAGUGAAGUCAUGGAGACCACAAGCAGCCAAACUGAGAGUGUGCCAGUAGAAGCACAACAUGAGGAUCCCCAAGCAGAAGACGACGUGCAAACUGUGGACGAACAACGCCACGAACCUGCUAAGAUGGUGCAAGCUCACACUCAAACGAGGAAACAUAAAGGCACAAACAAAUUUACACAAACUCCAGUUGUUUUUCAGAGCAACCAGGAAACGCAGACAGACUUCUCUGGUUCAAAAAAAGAAGACACAAAUGAUGAAAAGACUCAAUCUGAGACAAAGAACGCUGCUGAGGCGCAGCUAAAACAAGACGAAUGCCCCGACAAUGAGAGGGCGUCUUCAGAGUCUGCCAAGAAGCAAAACCCUGAGAAAGAGUCAAAGUCUAAAGAGGAGAACCCCUCGGCAGGAGCCUCAGGUGAUCCUGCAGGUGCCAAAACAAAGUCUUACGCCAAAGUUGUGUCUGGAGAGGGCGGGAGUCAGAAGCAGUCCGACGUGGAAGCUUCCAAAGCAGCAGAUAAAAACACAAAAACAGCCCAAAGCACGCGUGAUCGAAGCCCAGUGAGAUAUCCACCUGCUGCCCCCGUGUUCACCGUUCACAUCUAUGCUGUGCUGGACAAAAAGUUUAAAUUCAACCAAGAAUGUGACACACUUCUGCUUUGUUACGACGGAGGGCAAUUCACCCUUUAAGAUGACGCAUUUUGUGUGAGUAUUGAUUUGAUGAGCUGUAAUACAUAGAAUGUCUGCAACACAGAUCCGAAGUU
rnacentral:lncRNA from 1 species